CUACGGGGGGCUCCAGUGGGGAAUAUUGGACAAUGGGGGAAACCCUGAUCCAGCAAUGCCGCGUGUGUGAAGAAGGCCUGCGGGUUGUAAAGCACUUUCGGUUGGGAGGACUGCUUCUAGCACUAAUAUUGUUGGAAGUUGACGUUACCUUCAGAAGAAGCACCGGCUAACUCCGUGCCAGCAGCCGCGGUAAUACGGAGGGUGCGAAGCGUUAAUCGGAAUUACUGGGCGUAAAGCGCGCGUAGGCGGCUAGAUCAGUCGGGUGUGAAAGCCCCGGGCUUAACCUGGGAACUGCAUCCGAUACUGUCUAGCUUGAGUACAGGAGAGGAGAGUGGAAUUCCACAUGUAGCGGUGAAAUGCGUAGAUAUGUGGAGGAACACCAAUGGCGAAGGCAGCUCUCUGGCCUGAUACUGACGCUGAGGUGCGAAAGCGUGGGGAGCAAACAGGAUUAGAUACCCUAGUAGUC
rnacentral:rRNA from 1 species